rnacentral:rRNA from 1 species
AUUGAACGCUAGCGGGAUGUCUUACACAUGCAAGUCGAACGGAGUGGCGAACGGGUGAGUAAUGUAUCGGAACGUGCCCAGUAGCGGGGGAUCACUACGCGAAAGCGUAGCUAAUACCGACUACUAUUGGAGAGGACGUUAUCGGAUUAGCUCGUUGGUGGGGUAACGGCCCACAAAGGCGACGAGCCGUAGCUGGUUUGAGCGGACGACCAGCCACACUGGGACUGAGACACGGCCCAGACUCCUACGUGAGGCAGCAGUGUGGAAUGUUGGACAGUUGGGGAAACCCUGAUUCAGCCAUCCCGCGUGUGCGAUGAAGGCCUUCGGGUUGUAAAGCACUUUUUGCAGGAACGCGGUACCUGCAGAAUAAGCACCGGCUAACUCCGUGCCAGCAGCCGCGGUAAUUC